UGUAGAAUUUGGUAAUUUGGAAAAUUUAAAAUAUGGAAAUUUGGAAAAUUAAAAAUUUGAAGUUCCCGCCAAACCCGAAGACGAGUAGUCGAACACUCCUACACUAGUCCUAACCCAAAGGAAGUCCCUAAGUCACCGUCUUUAAAAUCGCGUUCAAUUUAUAAACCGCGUCUAACCGCAGAGAACUACAGUCGUGUUUUUGGCAUCAGUCGCGUAUAAUAAAAUGUAGAAAAAUCUAUAUUUUAUUAAAUCGUGCAUCGACGCGCACUGUAAAUUCUUUUUGUUGGAUAAAAUCGACGAAAGAUAAAGCUUACAAUUUACGUAGGUGUUUUUCUUGUAAGUACGUUAUUCUCCAUUAAAUUCUAUAUCGAGUAUCAAAUCCGAGACACAUCGAAGAGAGAUUUUUAUCUACUGAACCAGCUAUUCAAUCAACUAUCCGUUUUUUCCCAUACGUUUAUAUAAACCGCUAUAAGCUCAGAAUAUAAUAUAUAUGUAUAUAUAAUAAAUAUAUGUAUAUUAGAUGAAUUUAUCGAGGGUUCUUCCCAAACGUGGAUACAAAGAGUUUUAAAAUGGAGACAAUUCGAGUAAUUUUCGCUUAUUCACUUUCUAUAUUAAUGCACGUGGUAUAUGAUUACAAGAAAGAUAGCCUGAAGUGAGCUGCUCCAGUGAGCCGAAAAAAAUCAGAAGAUACAAAGUAAGCGUUGACGGCACGACAAUGUCAGUUUUUCCCAAAAGAAAAUGCAACAAUCUCUUAUCGUAUGUACUUAUCAAUUAGUAUUAUUAAUAAUGCGUUAAAGUAAUCGAUUAUUAUAAGACGUUUAGACAAGUUUUAAGAGGUUAUAUAUAUGUAUAUAUAUCGAUAUUAGCUUAAACAAGAUUUUUGUACUUUCUUAGAAAAUUGCAUAGCACGAGUAACUAAUUCAGCGUUUUCUAACAGAAAUCAUAAAAGGUCACUGCGAUUGUGGCGCCAUUAACACCGACUUCAAGCACGAACGAUCGCUUCCGACCGUGGAAACUAUGAAAAUUCCUAGAUCCAUCGGGUAACGUUAAAAAAUAUACCGAUUCCAGCUAUCAAUUGCGAGCUAACCUGUCGCUAUUAACGCAUGCGAAAGACAUCAACGGAGAGAACGACGGUGUGCGAAGCGCGGAUAUUACAGUUACGAUUCGUUAGAUUAAGAUCAUCCGAACAUGGAAAGACUACGAUUGGAAAAUUUAUUGUUCACGGAUGACGGAUUUACGGAUAUUCGACUGGAUUCAAUAUGAUUGCAAGUUUAGUAAUUUCAAGAUUAGGAAAUUCAGAAAUUGGUGAUCGAACAUUCGGAUGAUGGGUAAUAUUACACCACAGGCACGAAACAGUCCAACUAACAGCAGUCGUCCCUAUUCGGUGAAAAUUUAAUAAGUAAUGUUACCGACAGUGAGUUAACAACGUUAUCGACAGAGGAAAUUUCGUGAGUUAGGAACGUUACCGACAGAGAAAAUUUCAUGAGUCAGCAAGGUUACCAACAGUGAAAAUUUCGUGAGUCAACAACAUUACCGACAGUGAAAAUUUUUUUCACUAAAUGGCAUCAUCUACUACUAACUGUUCGGACACUUCAGGAGUUGAUUUACAUACAUCAGAAAUUCUCCUGCGAACAAACGAAAUUCCACGAACACCUAAUCGUCGCUUGAAUAAUUGAGGUAGAAUUAUACACGGGUAAAUUCGGGUACGCUAAGAAAUGUCGAUGAAUGGAAACGGAAAAUAAUAAUCCGCGAGCUUGAAUAUUAAGAAGCUUCCUCGAAGCGUAAUAUGACCGUGAUUACUAAGAGCGUGUAACUUCGAGUUAUUGUUAAAAUUAUUGUUACAUAUCUAACGAUAUUAUCGAUACAUGUUACACUUACGAACUGAUUCUAUCUAACGACUAGAAACCCGAUCUAUGUGUACUAUCACCACUGGUUUACGUUUAUAUACGAGAUGCGAACUCCAUUUUGGACAGGAAACAACGAAGUCGACCUAACGCGAAGCUGUGUCUGUAGAUCUCCUAUUUAUCCCUGAACAUCUAUCAAUUACUGCAGAUUCUUAAUCAAAAAAUCUCUACAGACUUGAAACUUCUGAUGUUUAAUUAUAAAAUGUCUUUAGUCUUGAAACUGCUGAUUUUUAAUUAAAAAAUGUCUACAGACUUGUAACUGCAGAUUUUUAAUUAAAAAAUGUCUACAUAUCUGUAACUGCAGAUUUUUAAUCAAAAACUGUCUACAGACUUGAAGCUGCAGAUUUUUAAUUAAAAAUUGACUGCAGACUAGAGACAGCAGAUAUUUAAUUAAAAAUUGACUGCAGAGCAGAGUCUGCACAAGAUAUUUAAAUUGUGAUACAAGAUAUUGAAGACAGUUCUCAAAUUCUCCAAUA